rnacentral:lncRNA from 10 species
CUCUGCCUGGGGGUUGAGCUGGGGAUGAGGAGUGGAGUUUCCGGCAGAGAAGUCUUGGGGUAAGGCCAAUACUCGCUCUUCCAUGACAGAGCCUGAGGAUCUUCCCUGGCCCCAGGUCCCAGGCCUUGGCUGCAUGAGGAGUCACAAGAUGCCUCUCCUGAACCAGGGAGUUCUCCCUAACACUGAUGGGCACUGGUGGGCAGGGAAGAAGACAGCAGUAGCCAUGGGUGGUGACUCAGAUCACAGACCUGGCUCCAGUCCCUGCUCUGCCACGAACUGCCUGUGUGUCCCAGUGCCCCAACCAACUCCCUUAGGGCAAGGACUCUGAGCCCUCAUCCGUGAAUAGGACUCUCUGUGUUCACAGGGAGCCUCCUGCCCCAGGUCCCCUGGCCUCUGAGCUUCUUCUCAGAAACGGGAAGGCUGAGACAUGUCUGGCUCCAGUAAAUUAACGACCUCAUCUCCACUGACUUAUUUGUCUGAAACAUGUUCAAAAAGCAAAGCAAAUAGAAAAGAGGAGAAGUCUUGGAGGAAGAAGGAAAGCAGACACAGGAAAUUAGGAUAAAUGUUUAAAGUAAAGGUGGGACUUCACCAUCUUGGC